rnacentral:rRNA from 1 species
GAACGGCACCACGAAGGUUAUACUGUCUCCUUUCCCCAAUCAGUGAAACUAAUUUCCCCGUGAAGAAGCGGGGAUAGAAAUAUAAGACGAGAAGACCCUAUGGAGCUUUAAACAACGCAGCAACUGCUACUAGUCUGAAAGACCUCAGAGUCUCUAAUUAUCUUGGCACUUUGACAGCAAGUUUUAGGUUGGGGUGACCGCGGAGUACAAUAUAACCUCCACGCUGAAAGAAUCCUAUUCUUAGCCGAGAGCUACUACCCUAAGCACCAGCAUACUGACAUCUAUUGACCCAAUACAAUUGAACAACGAACCAAGUUACCCUAGGGAUAACAGCGCAAUCCACUUCAAGAGCCCCUAUCGACAAGUGG